AAGGAGUGCAUUUUUUAUAGACCCUUUAAUGUACUCUUAAUUCCUAAAUAUAUACAUACAUAUAGGGGAGAGUUUAAAUGAGAACACUCAUCUUUUGUGAGAACCAUGAGAACAAAUCUCAGCCACUCAUUUCCCUUGUAUUUUAAUUAAAAGGGUAAAGUGGUAAUUAAACAAAUUCCCUACAACUCUCUGGUUUCCAUUAACACCCAAAUUCCAGCACUACUUUUUUCCAAUCUACGCACACGAUCUUUAGUCUAGGCACAUGAUUCUUAAUCAGGAAUCUUAUCCAAUGGAUUAUGGUUUGGAGUAAUUGAUCUUAAACUAUUUCGUUCCUAAUCAGCAGGUUCAUCUAAGACCAGCUAAGAGGAUAUUGUAUCUGUGUGAGGUGAACCAAGGGUUCUAUAUUAAGUGUUAUCAGUCAUGAUGAGGAACAAUUUGAAGAUUUAGAUGAAGCAAGUGUUGGACCUGAUAUGAGCAUCCUAUCUUGUUCAGAUUUACACAUGUGUAACUACGAAUUGCUUGCAUCCCAUCCUAUUCAGAUUUACACAUGUGUUAAUCGACACGAGUCGUGUUCAUAGACUUUUAGCAUAUGCUACUGUUGUAAAAGGUUGUUUCAAUACUGGAAGAUAUGAGGACAUGUAUGCGUAUGUGUGUGAUAUUGAAGUGAAAAGGUUGUCUCAAGUCCAUAUAAGAUGUUCAGUUGGCUUGCAAGGCUGCAUCAGAUGAAUGAGAAUGUUGAUGGUGAUGCAAGGAUUCUUAUGUGUUCUUCAUUCUUUGUACCUAUCUUAGAAAAAGAAUGUAAUCAAAAAUCAAACAUAAAACACUUCAUUAUAUGUAACUACUAAGUACAGUUCUGUUAGAGAAAUGUGGAUGAAGAACAAACAAAUAUGUGAUUA